GANGUACUCCCUCCGUCCCAAAAUUCUUGUCUUAGAUUUGUCUAGAUACGGAUGUAUCAAGUCACAUUUUAGUAUUAGAUACAUCCGUAUCUAGACAAAUCUAAGACAAGAAAUUUGGAACAGAGGGAGUAAUUG
rnacentral:pre_miRNA from 1 species